rnacentral:rRNA from 1 species
UGGGGAAUAUUGGACAAUGGGGGGAACCCUGAUCCAGCGACGCCGCGUGAGUGAAGAAGUAUUUCGGUAUGUAAAGCUCUAUCAGCAGGGAAGAAAGAAAUGACGGUACCUGACUAAGAAGCCCCGGCUAACUACGUGCCAGCAGCCGCGGUAAUACGUAGGGGGCAAGCGUUAUCCGGAUUUACUGGGUGUAAAGGGAGCGUAGACGGUUACGCAAGUCUGGAGUGAAAGGCGGGGGCCCAACCCCCGGACUGCUUUGGAAACUGUAUAACUGGAGUGCAGGAGAGGUAAGUGGAAUUCCUA